UACGUAGGGACCGAGCGUUGUCCGGAUUCAUUGGGCGUAAAGAGCUCGUAGGCGGCUGCUCAAGUCGAAUGUGAAAACUCGAGGCUCAACCUCGAGCCUGCAUUCGAUACUGGGCGGCUAGAGUCUGGUAGGGGGAUCUGGAAUUCCUGGUGUAGCGGUGGAAUGCGCAGAUAUCAGGAGGAACACCGGUGGCGAAGGCGGCGCUCUGGACCGAUACUGACGCUGAGGCGCGAAAGCGUGGGGAGCAAACAGG
rnacentral:rRNA from 1 species